rnacentral:rRNA from 1 species
GACGAACGCUGGCGGCGUGCUUAAUACAUGCAAGUCGAACGGAAAGGCCCUGAUUUUGUGGGGUGCUCGAGUGGCGAACGGGUGAGUAACACGUGAGUAUACUGCCCUUGACUUUGGGAUAACUUCAGGAAACUGGGGCUAAUACCGGAUAGGAGAUCCUGAUGCAUGGUGGGGGUUGGAAAGUUUCGGCGGUUGGGGCUGGACUCGCGGCUUAUCAGCUUGUUGGUGGGGUAGUUGCUUACAAAGGCUUUGACGGGUAGCCGGCCUUAGAGGUUGACCGGCCACAUUGGGACUGAGAGACGGCCCAGACUCCUACGGUAGGCAGCAGUGGGGAAUAUGGCAGAAUGGGCGGAAGCCUGUUGCAGCAACGCCGCGAUCGGGAUGACGUCCUACGGGGUGUAAACCGCUGUCGCCGGUGACGAAGCGGGAUUGACGGUAAUGAGUAAAGAAGCACCGGCUAACUACGUG